AACUAUUGAAUUUAUUAAUAUUAUUCUUGCACAAAUUAAUUAAUGAUUAUAUCAUCUUUUGGUCACUCGAGUAAGAUAGAACAUGAUGAUCCUCUCUUAAUUUGGUUUCUCCUCCGCUGAAGAAUAUAGGAAUCACCAGCAGCCCUUCUCUAGUUCCGAGGAAGUGCUCAACCUAGACGUUGUUGGCCGAAGGAGGGGCGGAGCAGGUGCCAGUCAAGUAGGCGGCUCAAUGCGUGGGAGAUGGCAGCUGCCGAUCUCACACGGCUCAUGCGCCCCGCGACCCUCCCCUCCCCGGCUAAGUAGGAGGUUCGAGGGCAGCGACUAAGGAAGGAGCACAUCGGCGAUGAGGGCUAGCAAUAGCAAGACAAUUGCCAGGUGCAGUCGAUAUGCCGCCACGUCGGCCCUUCACGCGCGCCCACCAGGGUCGGGACCUUUUUCAGAACAAUGCGUAGUGUUUCCUUUAUUGUUGUUGUUUGUGAUGUCCUUGAUAUUCCUUUGCCAUAUGAUUUUUGAUCAUUUUCUCGCUCAUUCCUAGAGGAGCGCUAUGGAUAAUAUGAUUGAGAUGACUAAGAUACAUGCUUUUUGUUUACUUGGCAUCUGCUUCUCUUAAUUUUUCUACAACCCUUCCUUUACAUGCUGGUAUGUUUUGUUGCCAGGCUCAGAUCGGCGAGACCCGUGCCAAUGCACGAGGUACAAUAUUGGUUAAUUUUCCAUCUCCAAUCAGAUUAAUGGUUUGCAUGCAGACCAAGCCCAGUGUUUUAUGGUGUUCUUAUUCCUGAUUUAGUUGUACAUUUGACUUUUAGUUUCUUCAUAGAUAAUAAAGUAGUGGCAGAUGAACCAAGUCCAUGGUAUCAUACGAUUUGAAGUUGAAAAAAUCAUGCUAUGGGUGAUACGGAAAAGUCAUUGCCUUCUUUGCUGGAACAUUUCCUAAGAUGAUCUAAGGUGAAGCAUUUAUGAAUAUCCUCGCUGAUCUAUGGAUCUAUCAUUGUAAGAGUCGAUAAUAUAUGGUGAGCUGGCUCACACCAUCAUUUGGUCUUUGUAGCAUUUGAGUUGGCAAAUUUGUUGGAUUCAUGCGAUUAGGCAUGCCAUGUAAAUCAAUCUGCAAUGGGAAAUGGGAGUUUGCAAACUACCGGAGUCUAAUUGCUGAGGGACGAGGUUCGUAACUGAGGGUCAUGUGCAGAGCUGGAGGAAGAAGUUGCGAGGCUUGGAACUCUCCUUGUGAAGGGCUCAGGGACAACAGUGAGGACAAUGCCUCUUUAGUUGUAAUUGUGAUACUCCUGAUGUGCAAGUAAACAUUCCUGUGAUACUCCUUAUGCUAAAAUGUUGGUU